CUUAAAUACAUUAUGUUACUGUCUGCUGACUUUUGAUGCACUUUCUAAAUAAUGGCAUACUAAACAUAUAGCAUUAUCAUGAUAAGCAAUUGAAAAAAUGUAAAGAUGAGGGACUAGACAAUGAAUCUAGAAUUAGCAGAACAGCUUUUUAAAAGUCAAAAAUUGUGUUCUCAGUAUUAUUUAUGUGAAAAAAAGAAAAGAGCACUGAUUCUCAGAUAUUGCUUCCCUCUAAAGCUGGUUUUAGCUAUUAUUAAACCUGAUCCUCUUUGAGAAGUAUCAAAGAUUGUUAUCACAUUUGUCCAGCAUCCUGCUCACCAAACAAGGCAUCUUACAUAGUAUGGUAGGAGAAUUCUAAGACUGACCCCAAGAUUACCACCUCCUGUUGAACAUGUUCUAUAUAACCCCCUAUGUGAAUAUGAUGGGAUUUCAUUCCUAUGAUUAGGUUACAUUAUUUACAAAGGUAAAGGGAUUUUUGCAGAGGUGCCUAAUAAGGUCCCUAUUACGCUGACUUUGAGUUAGUUGAAGACUAUCCUGAGUGGGCCUGACAUAAUCAGGUAAGCCUUUAAAAGAGAGUCCAGAUCUUCUCUGAAGGGAGAGAGCUGAAAUGAGAGAGGUGCUCUCCUACCGGCUUUGAAGAAGCCAACAGCCAUGUUGUGAACUGCCUAUGGAGACAGCCACGUAGCAAGGAUCUGAGAGCAGCCUGAGCUGUUGAAAGUGGUCCUUGGCUGACAGCCAGCAAGAAAAUGGAAGCCUUGGUGCUACUGGAACAAGGAACCAAAUUUUGCCAACAACCACAUGCUUGGAAAAGAACUCUGAGUUUCAGAAAGAAGCACAGCCAAGCCAAACGUCUAGACUGCAGCCGUAGGAGCUACUAAGUGGAGCAUCCAGCUGAGCUGUGCCUGGACUGCUGGCCAUGGAAAUGGUCUGACUCAUUGAAAAUGAACAUCAUAUUAAUGCCCAGCUCCAUACCAGCAUAUGCAUAUGCACCAACCCCAUGCAGUCAUGGCUCCAGCCGCCCACCCCUCUGACCUUCAGAAACUCCGCUGUCAAAGGGCAUGAGCUCCUCAAAGGCCGAGGUUCAUUAACCUCCCACAUUAAGGAAAUCCCUGAUGUUGGAAAAAAGCCCCUUCUCUCUCUCUCAGAUGAUACACAUGCUAUCUGGGGUCCCUAGAAUGACACAUCGAGACCUAACUCAUGAAAAAACAACUGCAUCUGACAUAAGGAGACUUCACAUCCAUCCUACGGUGGUCUUCGCUGGCUGAGAGAUUUGGGUAUUUCUUCAAUAAUUUAAAAAAUACGUGACUUAAGAGAAGAGAAAAUAACUUACAAUGUUUUGAAAUUGAUUGAAACCCUGAGAUCUGCAGUAUGCUCUGUGGAUCAUAGAUCAGAAAGAAGAUCUGGGAAAGAAGUUGAGUAAAAAUAAGAAUGCAAUUUUCUAUGGAAACAACGUCUCCAAACCCUGAAAUUACUGCUUAGAUUGGAUCUACAGUCAUGAAAACAGCCUCCGUGCUUCGAGAAAGCUGCAAAAACUUAAGAAGGAAAAUGGCUCAAGAUAGACAUUUAUUGGAUUAGAUCUUGCCACUACUUUAAGCAUAAAGAGCUGCAUGCUGAUGGGCAGCAAAAGAAAGCUGGUUUUCUCAGAUGAUGCACUUGGCUGAUAUGGAUGAUCCCGGUGAAAAUAAAGGAAAACAAUGAGCAUCAUUCAGCUCCCAGUUCUGCAAGGGUUAAGUUGUCAUCCACUGCAAUUGCUCACCCUGAGAGGAAUUAGGGAUGAGAAACAAGAUGAGUCACUCCGUGCUUUGGAUAAACAGGCCUUUAGAUAGUUGGGCUUAUAUCUCAGGAAACAUUUCAGUGACCCCCCCCCCCCCCAGAUUCUUGCAUCUUCCCAUACAUAGAAAAGCACCAGAAACAUUAACUUUAAAUAUCUGUUCUUUGUGAUUAGCAGUAACCUUUUACCAAGACAUAUGUUUGAAUGCAUGUAUUUCCUAGCCCAAAAAACCAUGUACAAACUGACAUCGCCUCCACCUCUUUUGGAGCAGUUCCCUCAGAGCCACUGAACUUCUGUCUCCUGGACUACAGUCCUCAGUAAGCCCCUGAAAAAAACUUAUACUCACAACUCUUACUCUGUGCAUUUUUCUUUGACACCUGUUAAAGCUGUACUUUAGAACCAGACUAUAUGGAUUCGGGUCAGAGUGUGCUACAGACUUGGGGAGGUUAUGACUUGGACAAGUUAUUUUUACUCUCUGAACCUGUUUCCCCAUCUAGAAAAUGGGGGCAAUAAUAGAUCCAAUUUCAUCGGGUCAUUAUAAAAUUAAAGAGAUAGUGUAUGUAAAGUUCAGAUUACAGUACAUACAUAGUAAACGCUCAAAAUGGAGCAGUUAUUGUCAAUUUGUUAGAGGCACGGAGAGUGAAAUUUCAGGUUCUAGGUAAAUUAUUUUUUGCUAUUUUCUUUACUAACAUGUCUUGAGUUUAUCUGAAAGGCAAGCAGUGGAGUUGAAGGAAAUAAAAUAUUCCCUUUUAUGUGAUAAUAGAAUUGGCCAUUAUUCCUGUAAAACUCAAUUGGGUAAUACUAUGAACCAGUGUUCUGACUGUUCAUAAAGCAAUGUGGGCUAAUUACGUCCGAGUAUUUAAGGAAUCCUUUUUGCUAUGUGAUAACAUUGGGUCUAUAACUGAUGGCUAAAGGAGAUACUGGAAAACAGUUUGAUUUAAUCACUACUUUAUCACUUUAAAGUGCAUCUACUACCCAACCCAGCACUGUGUUAGGAUGACUUGGGAGGCACAGAAGACACAUGUGAUAGAUCUGUGCUCAGAAACAUUGCCAGUUUGGGAUUGAUGAUGAUUUGGGACUGAAGUGAUUGGGAGUGUUACGGACCUACUAAUCUGGGUCUGUUAUAGUAACAAGAAUAAAUCAUCCUUCCUACAGAAAUAUUUUUGACAUGUUCUGCCUAUAUUCACUGCUUAACUCUACACUUAAGAGGAGAUAAGGUUAUUUAUCCAUAUUGAAUGAGGAUGGACAAAUCUGGGUUCAAAACAAGUAAAUUAUUUUUCCAAAGCCCGGUCAGGAGAUGGAAAGCCAUGGUUAGAGGCCUAUUCUCUUCAUUUUCCUGUUAGAUUUCAGCCCUUCACACAUCAGAGUUUUGCCAGAUGCUGAACGCAGUGAGGCAGUUCGCAGGAGCACUGAACUCGGAAUCAGAAGUUACUGCCAUUUAGGAUUUGUGUGGUGACUUUGGGAAUGACUUAAAAAAAAAUCUCAUUUGUAAAAUGGAAAUGAUAGUUAUGCUCAAGAUGAAUUUGAGAAUUUAGUAAGAUGGGGAUGUAAAACCACCUGGCACUGACUAGUUGCUCAGUAAAUGUCACUUGCUUCCUAAGGCUGCUCUGCCAUCUAGAAUUAAAACACUAGUACUUUUAAAGUAUUGUGUUUUUUCUAAUUUACAUCCAGUCAGUAAAAGAUAUUUCUUUCUCUUUCCUUUAUGGAAUUUCCCUGUGAUUAAAGUUUGACUCUGCAUGUGUGUGUGUGUGUGUGUAUGUGUUGCUUGGUUUUUUUGUUUUAGUGCUUUUUUGAAGUUGUAAGGAAACCCAGGGCCAGUGUGCAUUUUUGGAAUUGAAGGGAUGAGGGAUUCUUGUUUUGUUCCUUGGAUUUUACUGAAUUGAUCCAUCUACCAGCACAGGUCAUAUAGAUAUGCUCUUUGUGAAAGUCACACAAGUAGUAAGAAAGAGAGCAGUUAUAAGAGGAGAAAAUAAAGUAGGACAGUGACUAAAUUUAGGAUUGGGCAUAAGAUGAGGAAAGUCUCCUAGUAACAGAGGCAGGUAGCAAAUGGGAGGGCUUUGGCUGGACGAGGGAAUUAAGACCCAGAAGCGGGAGUGAGCGCCUGGCUCAGAUAAGCCCAGCAUUAAGUCAGGAAGAGAGGAUCUGAAUACACACAGCCCAACACAAGAUGAAACUGUAAAUAUGUAUGUUCACUACAAAGCAGCUUAGAGUAGAGACAAAGGAAGAAAGAGGUCUGGACAACCUCAUAAAUCCACAAUAGGAUCAAGUCAGAAGGUCAAAACACAGAGGACAAAGACAUUUAUUUCACGCACAAUGAAACCAUUAAUUGUAAAUUCCCCUGUAUUUUCUUUAACAGAAGUGGUCUAGUUUGAAAGAAUUUAUAGCUCUUUUCUGAACAGCAGAGUUGAAUUUUGUACUCUUUUCCAAGGAAAAUUCUGUUGGGCCUCUAAUAACAAUGAUUAAAGUGAAAAGAUAUUUAAGCACUUUAAUUGAAAGUCAUUUAUUCACCCAGAGGCCAAGUACAAUACUGGUGGGCAGAAUAUUUGAUUCCCCUCCCAGCCCUACCAAUGUAUUCUGCUUCAUAAUAGUACAGAUGAAGCGAUGUGUCUUGCAGCAAAAAAAAUGAUUCUGUUUCCACGGUAACAUAAGUCUCAGCUGCGUUUCCUCAGUGGUGAAGGACAACUGCUCUGUCUACCACGUGUGGGUCUGAAGGGAUGAUUAGGAGUGGAGGAGGAGUGAGCCAAGACCAGCGAAGGUAAUUUCCCCUCUGGCUGCCUGUCACAGAAGCACCAGAAUCCUGUGAAAUAAAUACAACCAUUGUGUGCUCCUUUUUAAAAAUUCUACACCCCAACUUUCUGAAUUGGCUUCCCCCCAAAAUAAUUGCCAUGGAAGAGCAGGGGGAAAAAUUCACCUUUUAAAAUGCUUGAGGGGAGGGCAUAGCUCAGUAGUAAAGCACAUGCUUAGCAUGCACAAGGUCCUGGGUUCAAUCCCCAGUACCUCAAUUAAAAAUAAUAAUAAAAUUUAGAAAAUUGUUAAGUGGGGGAAGGGCAUAUAGCUCAGUGGUAGAGCACAUGCAAGGUCCUGGGUUCAUCAUGCACAAGGUCCUAGGUUCAAUCCCCAGUACCUCAAUUAAAAAAAAAUAAUAAAAUUUUAAAACAGGUGGAGGAUAUAGCUUAGUGGUAGAGCAUGUGCUUAGUGUGCAUAAAGUCCCAGGGUCAAUCCCUAGUGCCUCCAUUUAAAUAAAUAAAUAAAUAAACCUGAUUAACUCCCCCACAAACAACAAAUAAACAAAAUGCCCUUAGUCAUCUCCUUGAAAAACAACCCCCAAGCACACUGAACAUAUUUCAUGUCCCAGCAUCAUUUCUUCUGUGCUGUGCAUGGCUCCCCCCCUUCACUAAUGUAAAUGUACUCAUGCUCCUUUUCUUGGCCCAGCUCUUCUUUACUUCCAGACCCUCACGCCCAUCCCCAAGCUGUACCACACCAAAUGAGAGGCCUUGAUUAUUUUGAGCCCCCUGCAAGAUGAACUUCCCCUGCAGAGAUUCCUGCUUUUCUCCGUCUACACAAGGACCCCCAUUGGUCACAAGAUGCAUGCUGUUUGGCCUGUGCCCCACUUUCUCUGCUCGUAUCUAGUUAUCUGCCUGCUCUAACAAUAACAGAAGAGUUGUUUGAAGAAUAUGUAAAGUAUUUAUAUCAAUAAGAGUGAGUGGAGCUGUGAGCUGGCAGAAGCUUUAUCCCAGAGAACUUAGUGGAGCAGAGCUGCCAUUCAGGUCUCAGAUACAUGCCUUUAGACUUUUACACAGUAGGGAAAUGAAUGUCUAUCUUAUUUAAAAGUAGUAAAGUUUUUUUUUUGUUUCCCAUUUCUCCCAGCUGAACUUACUUCUGAUCAAUAUGCUGUUUUUUUUCUUUUCCCUUAGGAAAAUAUUUUGGGGAAAACCAUGACUAGCUGAAGGCCCCCCCUCUUUACUACCCAUAAAAUUUGACUCAAAAAUUCUAUGAAAAUAUUACAUGAACUGUUACUUAUGAAGAGUAUUCUGAACUGAAUGUUUGUUUCCCCAUAAAAUUCAUAUGUUGAAGCCUUAACCCCAAAGAUGAUGGUAUUUGGAAGUAGAGACUUUGGGAGGUAAUUAGUGUUAGAAGAAGUCAUGAGGGAGGAGCCCCUGUGAUGAGAUUAGUGCCCUGAGAGGAGGAGCGUUAGAGGAAGCUUUCUCUGUCUGCCAUGUGAGGAUACAAUGAGAAAGCAAUCUGGCAGGAGAGCUCUCACUAGGGGAAAAAAUCUGCCUUGAUCUUGGACUUCCCAGCCUCCAGAUCUGUGAAAAUAAAUGUCUGUUGCUUGGACCACCCAGCCUAGGGUAAUUUUUUAUGGCAGCUUGAGCUAAGACAAAGUAUUUAAAAUAAGAAGGUACUUGUAUUAGCAAGGAAAAGAAUGUAACAAGUUCAACUCUAGAAACCAACUACAAUGAUUUAGAAGAGAAUUUUAGUUAAAAUCUUAAGCAGUCAAAAGGUACAGACUUCCAGUUAAAAAAUAAAUAAGCAUUAGGGAUGUAAUGUACAACUUGAUAAAUAUAAUUAACACUGCUGUAUGUCAUAUAUGAAAACUGUUAAGAGAGCAAAUCCUAAUAGUUCUCAUCACAAGGAAAAUAUUUUUCCUAUGUCUUUAAUUUUAUUUUUAUAUGAGAUGAUGGAUGUUCACUAAACUUACUGUGACAAUCACUUCACAAUAUAUGUAAGUCAAAUCAUUAUGCUGUACACCUUAAACUUAUACCCUGCUGUCUGUCAAUUAAAUCUCAGUAAAACAGGAAGAAAAAAAAUCUUAAGCAUAAAUUAUGGGUUGAAGAUAUAUCCCAAAAGAAAGUUCUGUAGUUCUAAGUAAAACCCGAUUGUCAAGACACAGUAUUCAGAUCACAGAGAAGGGGGAGGGAUGGCUCCGAAGACAGAGCGUAGAUAAGACCCCCUCCGUGGAAAGAAGGUCUGAGACCUGGGUGAGAAAUGACAGACCACUGGCUGUUAUCUCCCUGAGUAAGUAAAUAUUCCGUCCCCAAAUGAAAGAGCUUUCCUGGCAGUUUUCACCCAAAGUGAGAGGAGAGCUCCCCACACAGUCUGCUUAUCUCUCUUGGAUAGGAACCCAGUCACUGGGACCAAACAAGGCAGCAGCCAAAAUACCAGGUCACGUGUACAUUUUCUGCCUUUCAUUCUUAGCCUCCUUCUGUUCUCCAGGGGAGGGGAAAAUGAGGAGGGAAGUGAGAAGGAAGAGGCUGCUUCUUCCAAAAGCCACUGUCCUUUGCCUUUAGUCUCAUUGAGUUCCUACCUCGCCUGGGAAUAACACAGACUCUUAUGGGAUACUCAAGGGACCUCGGUCAGGGUUAUAAAAUUCAAACCAAAUCCAGGUGCCAGGUGGAACAUGCAGCCACAGGAUUGAAACAAGCAUAUCCCCUGAGUAUCAAGUCUAUUUAAGAUAUUUGAAGAAAGAACAUUAUUUUCACGUGAAAGAAUAGAAUGGCGAAUUUACAUGAAUUCUUAAGAUAAAAAGAAACUCCAAAUUAUUUCAUGCCUGUGGCUUCGGGUCAGAAGUCCACAUUCCCUGGGGCUCACUAUAUUUCUCUUCUGACGUCAGGAAUCUUUCAGUGAAAAAUUUUCAGAAGCACUGCAGUAAGAUAAAUUCAGAAAAAUGCGUUCAUUGGAUCUGACAAUUCUGAGGUCUCUGGUGACAGGGGAAGAGCAGUUUCAGAGAAUUGGUUUUAGGAGGGGAUGCGGUGAGGCAGUGAGGGUAGUUGGGCCAUAAAAAGAAGAAAGAGAUGGUAUAAGAGCCAGGGUGGGCUGUGGGGUCCUGCCCCAUGACCACCGCUGUGCUCAGUGCCAGGCAGCACAGUGCCGCAAUUGUGGUGGGGUCUCUCGAAGGAGAGGCCAUUCCAUCGCCGGGGCAGCACGCAUCCAGCACACUGGGAGUGGGAGGGGGCCCGGAGCUGGGCAGAGACUGGCGAGCAUUAGUGGGCCGUAGAGAUGGACGGUGUACAACACGUAAUAAGACCUGUGUUAGGAGCACCUGGGGUCUCCUUCUGACUGUGUCCAGAAUUAGCGAUGCUGUUUUGAGCAAAUCAGGUUCUUACCAUUUUUUGUCUGCACAACGAGGUUUUUGGAUUGAAUGCUCAUCAAGUAUUAGUCCAGCCCUAACGUUCAAGAAUAAAGCUAUUUAUUUAUUUGAUGAUAACUCAUGGUCUCUUCCCAAACCUUUUUGACUUCCUGGCUACUUUAACUCCAGGUGGAAAUCUUUAUAACAACUGGCACAUUAAGAAAACAUUGGUUCUCUGAGAGCUGAAAGUUAAAAGGUUUCUGCUGGCUCAGUUAGAAAAAGUAAAUACAGCUCUUGAGAAUGCUUGCCUCUGCCAGCUGCUCUGCACUGCCUGCCAGCCUCUGGACAUGACACGGGGGAAAAACCCCGGGCAGACCUGGUAACAAGAAGAGCAUCAACACUCCUGUGUUCCCUCCGUGGGCCAGCCGGCUGACUGCAGACUCGUGUCGUCUGUCACUCACCUCAUCUAUUAAUUCGAGACGAGAAUAAACAUACCGAUUACUUGCAUGGCCGGUUCCACGUCUGUUGUGGCCUCUUCCAGCAACGACAGCAGCUUGGCUGAUAUCUGAUGCACAGAUUCAAUGUUGCUAAACAAGCUAUCCACGUCCAGCCGAUCAAUCUGAAGAAAUACAAAAAGUGAGCACCAGCGGAUGGAGAGAGACGCACAGUAUUUAGCAUAUUUCUCCUGCUAAACAGUGUUGCCUCACCCACCUUGGAUGCCAUAGGUCACACAUGUCACACAGAACGGCUGCCACCACUGAAACACCCCACUACUAACCUCGACUUGCAUGCUAAAACUGUGGGCACCAUUUUCCAUUUGGGGGCUCUGCGUCUGGGGAGAGCUUGAUACUGUUCUCCUCAAAUUUAUGGCCCCUCAAUAAAGAAAAGAAAAUAUUUUCUAUUUAAGUUAAUAUUUGUUAUUUGUGGUUUAAAAUAAAACAUGCAAAAAUAUAUUCUUCAGGGGGAAGAGGUUCCCUAAGGGUUUAUGUGGUAUGAUUACAAUUUCACAAGAUAUUUGGUGUGUCUGUAUAAGCCUAGACAUAAACCAAAAUAUUUAUCGUGUUUAUUUCUACCUGAUACAGCUAUAGGUGAUUAUAUUUUGUCUAUGUAUUUUUCUAAGAAAAAUUAUUUACAAAAUUGCAGCCAUAAAGGGUACCCAAAUUUUAACAGAAAAUUCCAGCUGAGCUCUUGUCAAUACAAGAUUAUUGGCCCUUUUUUUCAGAAAACACAAAACAGCAAGUAUAAUUAGAUCAAGUAUGAGCAAAUCCAAAAUAAAUACAUAUAACUCUCUUAUUGUGUAAAUAAAAAUCAACUUAAUGUGUAUUCAAACAUAUACACUUGUGAACAGAAUACCCUUGGAAGGGUAAAAAGAAGCUGGUAAUGGUGUUUGCCUCUGGAAAAGGAAACUGAGUAGCUAUAAGACAUUAUCGGGUCCUUCAGAUCUUUGGUAUUUUUGUAUUAUGUGAAUUUUACAAGUUCAAAAACUAAUUAAAACAAAGAAAAAUUAAACAUGUAUUUAAAGUCC